AAGAAAACGAGGAGACAGAGAAAGACGAAGUGCGGUAACGCGUCGCGCUGCGAUUGGGCCACACGUUUCGCGACACGUGAUCAGAGCAUGACGGAACGCUUGGUGACUGGACACGUGGCUGGCGUGGCUGCGCAGAGAGAGACGGUGCCCAGUUGCGUGCAAUUUCGAACGCAACUGUGGCCUGCUCGCAGCAACGGAACCGCUCUUCCGAGCAAGGUCUGUGGCUUCCUGGUGCCCCUAAUCUACCCGGAGCAGACGACCAGGGCCACCAUCCGGGACCCGUCGGAUUGCGAGCGAGGUCCUUGGUUGCCUGGCAUUCCCUGGCCUAUACCAGGAACAAGGAUGCCAAGGCGACUUCCCGAGACGCGCUGCGUUCUACCGACGUCCGGCAACGCCAGGGACGAGAUUGUGCGGCUCCAUGGGACAGCCGAUGCAGAGGUUCAGACUGAUAAAAGCACACGAAGAAGUGAAGCACGCCCAACGAGCACCGAUGCAUUUGCAAGGACAACGUGAGAAACCACCUACGAUGACACCUCCUUCCUCGGAUGAGAUGCUGUACUAAGGUUGAAGCUUGAAUGUCUUGGCAACUUGAAUGGGAGAUGAUGUAAUUACUCAUCCAAGGGCAACAAUUCAGGUCGAAACAAGCCCGUCUUCAAGGGUGAAAUCGGGGCAAGCCCUGGCUUCACCUGUACUGAGCCCCGACCAGACUACAUUCCUCCCUGCUCCAGGCUACCCGCAUCCCACUUCAGGCACCCCAGCGUCCGCUACGUUGAAGCAGAAUGUCCGCUACGUUGAAGCAGAAUAUCUUGGUCUUGAGGCACAUUUUGCUUGAGCGAUUCGGUGGCCAUGAGAACACUUCCAGGGAAGAAACCGCAAUUAUGAAGACAUCUUACACGUGAGCGUGUUGCAGUAUGCUUCGAGGACUCCAGGCUUACUGCCAAAUGCAAUCGUUGCGCUUGCAGGCGCCGGUGGUAAGAAUGUUCUCCGCACAUGAUGCGAACGAGCCCACAGCCAGGUUCUAAACACCUUCCAUCGCAUUUUCAUUUUUGAAGCGAAUUAUUGUAGUCCAUGCUUUGCAGGUACACUAGGCAAGAGAAAUAUGUGGUGACAACUGCCUAUUCUUACAUGAAUCUACAGGUGGGCAAGUGUUUUUCUACUUGUAUAGAUUGAAAACAUUGUCGCUACUUUAUUUAAUGAAAUGGUUUAAAAAGUUCUUAAAAUUAGCAUCAGAACCACCGCGAAAAGAGAACAGGUUGUUCAGACUCGAAACAUCCUUGAAUUCACUUUCUUCCUUCCCUUUUAGGAUUUCUCCAUGCUUCCUCCCUCAUUACUACUUUCUCCAUAGCCUCAAUAGCCACUUGCAUUAUCAUUGGCUCACGUGCUACCAUUAUCCUCUCUGAUACUGCAGCACAUGAGAUCUUUGCGUACAUUACUUUCUCGAUCCCUUACUACCCCGUAACAGGUUCAGUCCAACGAUCGCCCAAAGAAUCAUUCGACUGAUUCACAAUUUAUUCCCUCACUUAUUCGCACACUUGCUUUCCCGUUUCAAGUCUCUGCAUUGGGAUCAUUGCUCUACUUCUCCCAUUCUGCAUGGAUGGAACUGCAACUUUUUCGCAGUUACACACGCCGGCUGAGCACCGACUCGCCGUUUCCAAAGUCCUUUAGCGCUUUACGUAGUAUAUCGCUUUCUCAAAUUUUCUGCCUCCAUUACACGUUCAUAUUCUUUGCUAAUGCCUGACCACCAUCUUCCAUCAUAUAUCAUUUCUUCGUGUACACUCACAUGUCCCUUUCUUUUUCACGCUUACAUGCUUCAUGGUAUCACCGGGCGCCUUUUUGUUCGCUUGCUAUUGGUCGGAUAAUCGCUCGCUCGUUGCACUACCUUCCUGCUUGCUCAAUUUCUGACUUGUUUCUUGUCUAAUUGUUGUCGCGAGGGUUUUCAUGCUCAUUUAGUUCAGUGCCCUUUUGCACGAAUGACAGAGCGUGCAUCAUUUGGGGUCUCUUCUGACUGACACGCUUGAUUGCUUCCCUGUUUGCUCGUUGCUGAUCUCACUAUCCAGAUUGGCCAAUUUCUUGCUUUUUUCACUAGCUUGCCUCAUAAACCAUAUUCUGGUAGACUUGCCAACACCCUCAGUUUACUGCCCACUUGCACGAAUAACAGCUCAUGGUGCUAAGAUGCUGGUCCUUCUGUUUGCUGACUUCCUGGCCAGAUUGCCUCCUGCUUGCUCACCACUGAUUCCGCCUUCCAGCUAGGCUGAUUGCUUGUAUUUUCCUUCGCUUGCAUUUUCCUUCCUUGGCAUGCCUCAAAAUAUUUCCCAGUCCUCUUUUCAGCCUAGCUCCUUGUCUUUCUACACAGCCACACCUGCAACAUCGUCACCAGACCGGCCUGCAUGCAUGCAGAAGUACCUGCCUGCUCGCACGAACUACAAUGCAACGUCCUAGGAAGGGGCUCUUCUGCUUACUGGCUUGAUUCCUGCCUGCUCGUCGCUGAUUUUGCCAUCCAGCCUGCCUAAUUGCUUUCUUUUUUCUUCACUGGCUUGACUUAUCAGCAAUAUUGCCCUGCCAUCUCCGUUUUGGCCUUGCUCCUUGUCUUAUGACUGACCCGUGGGCUUGCCUGUACGCUGGGGUCCCUGCCUGUUUGUACAAAUGACAUCGGUAUGUGCUAAGGAGCAAAUUCGCUUGCUGGCUUGCUUGCUUCCUGCUUGCUCGUAGCUUUAUUCGCCAUUGAGCGCAGCUGAUUGCUUGCUUUUCUUUUCACUAACUUGCUUCAUCAAAAAUAUUCCCCUUCCCUCUCCCUUUUGGCUCUCCUUUGUCUUGUGACUACCUCGUAGAUUUGCCUGCAUGCUGAGGUGCCUGCCUGCUUGCAAAAAUGACAUUGCUAUCUAGUAGCGUAGAGGAGCUUGCUGGCUUGAUUACUUCCUCAUUACUCGUCGUUGAUUGUGCCAUCCCACUCAGCUAAUUGCUUGCUUGUUGUUUACAUGGCUUACCACACUAACCAUGUUAGCUUGCCCUCUCAUUUUCGGCCUUGCGCCUUGUCUCGUGAAUCUUUCGCACACUUGGCUGCACGCUCAAGUCCCUGCCUGCUUGCGCGAAUGUCAUUGCAGCAUGCUAAAAUUAUAGCUCAUUUGCUUGCUGUCUGGAGUGGUUCCUGUUUGCCCUUCGCUGAUUUCGCAAUCCCCCUCGGCUGAUUGCUUCCUUUUUCUUUCACUGGCUUGCCUCAACAAUAUUUCCCUACUCUCGCAUUUUAGCCCUGGCUCCUUGUCUUGUGAUUGUCUCGUAAGCUUGCCUGCAUGCUGACGUCCUUGCCUGCUUGCACAAAUGGCAUUGCAACCUGCUAGGAUGGGGGUUGUUAUUAUUGCUGGAUUGAUUGCUUCUUGCUUGCUCGCAGCUCAUUUCGCUGUCCAGCUCGGCUGAUUGCUUGCUUGUUGCUUCACUGGCUUGCCUCAUUGACCACAUUUCUCUGCUCUCUCCUUUUUAGCCUUGCUCUUUCUCAUGCAGCAAUCACCUAGACUUGCAUGCAUGGGCUAGGUCUUUCCCUGUUUGCACACAUGACAGUGGUAUGUGCUAAGAUAAGGGCUCAUUUGCUUGCUCGCUUGAUUACUCAAUGUUUGCUCGUCGCUCAUUUUGCCAUCCAGUUUGGCUUUUUGUUUGCUUGUUCAAUCGCUGUCUUACCGCAUCAACCCUAAUGCUCUGCCCUGUCCGUUUUGGCCAUGGUCUCUGUCAUGACUGUUACGUAGGCUUGCCAGCAUGCUACGGUUGCUGCCUGCUUGCAUGAAUGACAUUCCAACGAGAAAAGAUGGGGGCUUUUCUGCUUGCUGGCUUGUUAGCUUCCUGCUUGCUCGUCGCUGAUUUCGCCUUGCAACUCGGCUAAUUGUUUGCUUGUUCCCUCCCUGGCUUGCCUCAUAAACCAUAUUCCCCUGCCCUCUCCUUUUGGCUUUAAUCCUUGUCUUGUGACUGUCCCGUAGGCUUGCAUGCCACGCUGAGGUCCUUGCCUGCUUGCAUGAAUGACGUUGCUAUUUGCUAGAAUAGAGGUGCUCGCUGGCAUCAUUGCAUCUUGCUUGCUCAUCGCUGAUUUUGCCAUCCCGCUCACCUGAUUGUCAGUUAGCUCCGUCACUUACUUGCCUCAUCAACCAUACUAGCCUGCCUUCGACCCGCCGUAGUUGCUCAGUCGCUAUGGUUUUGGGCAGCUGCGCACGAGGUCGUGGGAUCGAACCCCGGCCACGGCGGCCGCAUUUCGGUGGGGGCGAAUUGCGAAAACACCCGUGUACUUAGAUUUAGGUGCAUUUUAAACAGGUAGCCGAAAUUUCCGGAGUCCUCCACUACGGCGCGCAUCGUAAUCAGAAAAUGGUUUUCGCAUGUAAAACCACAUAUUUCGUUUUUCCCUGCCUUCGCCUUUUAUCCCGUGCUCCUUGUCUUGACUGUCACGUAGGCUUGACUGCACGCUGUCGUUUAUUCCUGCUUGCACGAAUGCCCUUCCAAUGUGCUAGGAUCGAGGCUUCCCUGAUUGCAGGCUUGAUUGCCUCCUGCUUACUCUUAACAGAUUUCGCCAUCCAAUCCGCUGAUUAUUCGCUUCUUGUUUUGGUGGAUUGCCUCAUAAAUCACAUUCGCCUGCCCUCUCCUUUUAGCCUUGCUCCAUGCCUUGUGACUGUCUGGUAGGCUUGCCUGCAACCUGAGGUUUCUGCCUGCUUGCACGUAUGACAUCGGCAUGUGUUAAGAUGAGGGCGCAUUUUCAUGCUAUGUUGAGUGCUUCCUGCUUGCUCGUCGCUGGUUUAGCCAUCCAGCUCGGCUGAUUGCUUGCUUGUUUUUUCGCUGUCUUGCAUGAUUAACUAUAUUAGCCUGCCCUCUCAUUUUUGGCCUUAUCACUGUCAUGUGACUGCCACGUAGGCUUGCGUGCACGCGGAAGUCUCUGCCUGCUUGCGCAAAUGGCAUUGCAAUGUGCUAGGGAUGGGGGGGCUCUUCUGCUUGCUAACUUGAUUGUUUCUUGCUUGCUCAUCGUUGGUUUUGCCAUCCAGAAUGACUGAGUGCUUGCUUUUUCCUUCACUUGCUUGACUCACCAACCAUAUUCUCCUGCCCUCUCUUUUUGACUUUGCUCUCUGUCUUGUAACUAUCUCGUAGAUGUACCUGCACGCUGAGGUCGCUGCCUGCUUGCACGAAUGACAUUGCUAUGUGCUAGCAUGGAGGUGCUUGCCGCCUUGAUUACUUUCUGCUUGCUCGUCGCUGAUUUCACGAUCCAGCUUGGCCGAUUGCUUGCUUGUUCAUUCACUGUCUUGCUGCAUCACCUAUUCCCCUGCCCUCUGCUUUCCGGCCUUUCUCUUUGUCAUGUGACUCGCGUGGGCUUGCCUGUAUGCUAAGGUUUCUACGUGCUUGCACGAAUAACAUCGGUAUGUGGCAAGCGCUCAUUUUCUUGCUAUCUUGACUGCAUCUUGCGUGCUCGUCGCUAAUUUCACCAUCCAAAUCGGCUGAUUGCGCGCUUGUUUCUUCACUGGCUCGCCUCAUCAAACGUAUUACCCUACCCUCUCAUGUUUGGCCUUGCUGCCAUUCUUGUGACUGUCCCGUAGACUUGCCUGCAUGCUGUGGUUUCUGCCUACUUGCACGAGUGCCCUUCCAACGCGCUAGGAUGGGGGCUUUUCUGCUUGCAGGCUUCAUAGCUUCCUGCUUGCUCGUCGCUGAUUUCGCCAUCGAACUCGACUGAUUGGUUGCUUUUUAUUUUGCUGAUUUGCUUAAUAAACCAUAUUCACCUGCCCGCUCCUUUUUAGCCUUCCUCCUCCUCUUAUGCCUGUGCUGUAGGCUUGCUGCACGCUGUUUCUGCCUACUUUCAUGACUGACAUCGCGAUGUGCUAAGACUGGGGCUCGUUUUCUUGCUAUUUUGAGUGCUUCCUCCUUGCUCGUCGCUGAUUUAGCCAUCCAGCUCGGGUGAUUGCUUGCUCGUUUUUUCGCUGUCUUACCUCAACAAUCAUAUUCCCCUGCCCUCUCCUUUUUGGCCUUGCUCCUUGUUACUGUCACGUAUACUUGCCUACACACUUAAGUUUCUGCCUGCUUGCACGAACGACAUUCCAGCAUGUUAGGAUGGGCGCUCUUCUGCUUGCUGGCUUCAUUGAUUCCUGCUUGUUCGUCGCUGAUUUAGCCAAGCAUUUUGGGUGACUGCUUGCUUUUUCCUUGAAUAUGGCUUGCCAUAUCAACCACGUUCCCCUGCCCUCUUGUUUUUGGCCUUGCUCCUUGUCUUUUGACUAUCUCGUAGAUUUGCCUGCACACUGAGGUCCCAGCCUGCUUGCACGAAUGACAUUGCUAUGUGCUUGGAUGGAGGUGCUUGCUGCCUUGAUUACUUUGUUUGCUCGUCACUGAUUUCGCUAUCUAACUCGGCUGAUUGCUUGCUUGUUCCUUCGCUGGCUCGCCUUUUUGCCUGCCCUGUCUUUUGGCCUUGCUCCUUGUGACUGUCCCGUAGGCUUGCUUGCACGCUGAGGUUUCUGCCUGCUUGCACGAGUGCCCUUCUAACGUGCUAGGGUGGGGGCUUUUCUGCUUGCGGGCUGUGCAGCUUCCUGCUCGCUCGUCGCUGAUUUCGCCAUUGAACUCGGCUGAUUGGUUGCAUGUUGUUUUGCUGGCUUAUGUCAUAAACCACAUUCGCCUGCCCUCUCCUAUUUAGCCUUCCGCCUUGUCUUAUGGCUGCCCCUAGGCUUGCCUGCACGCUGAAGGUUAUGCCUGCUUGCACGAAUGGCAUUGCUAUGUGCUGGGAUGGAAGUGCUUGCUUUCUUGAUUACUUCCUGCUUGCUCCUCCCUGAUUUUGCCAUCCAGCUUGGCUGAUUGCUUGCUUGUUCAUUCACUGUCUUGCCGCAUCAGCUAUACCCCUACCCUCUGCUUUUUGGCCUUUCUUCUUGUCAUGUGACUGUAACAUAGGCUUGCUUGUACGCUGUUUCUGCCUGCUUGCAUGAAAGCCCUUCCAACAUGCUAGGAUUGGGGAUUUUCUGCUUGCUCGUCACUGAUUUCACCAUCCAAUUUUUCUGAUUGUUUUUUUUUUGCUGAUUUGCGUCAUAAGCCACAUUCGCCUGCGCUCUCCUUCUUGGCAUGGCGCUUUGUCAAGUGACUGUUUUUAGGCUUGUCUGCAUGCUGAAUUUCUUGACUGCUUGCACGAAUGACAUUUCAGCGUGUGUCCUGCCGCUUGCACGAAUUACAUUGCAUGAAACUUAUCAAGGUGUGUUUUUCCUUGCUGGCUUGAUUGCUUUCUGGUUGCAUGUUGCUGAUUUCAGUAUACACCUCUGCCGAUUGCUUGGCGGUUCCAUUAGUGGCUUAUUGACUAUACUUCCAUGCUCGCUCGUUUUCAGUCUUGCUGCUUGCUUGUCUUAAUGUCUCAUCGGCUUUUCUGCAUGCGCUGUGCACGCUUGUGCAGUAGUGUACUCUGAUAGAGCGCGGAGAAGUUAAUAAGGAAUUGGCUUUUUUGUCCUAUGUCCAUUUUUUUUUCGUUCAUUGUGUUUUGCGCCUUUAACAAAUUUCUAGCUCGUAUUAACGCUUGUCCUCCAAGGAUACACUUUGUAAAUGCUAUAAUUUGUUUUUUUUUUUCAGCUGCUGUGUGUCGGAGGGAAAUUUCCUGUUCAUUGUUUGCUUGAACGCACACAUUACAAUUACAAAAUUAUCAGUGUUCUGCAAUUUCUCGCAUUCGUAGGGUCAGCGUAAGUCGGUACUACCGUUCCCAAGUCUAACACCACGAGAACAACCAAGAAAAAUGAAUCUUCCUUUCAGACAAAAGAGGGCGCCGAAUAAGCAGAUCCUCCCAGAGUGUUCACGGUGUAUGUCAUCAACAGUCCCGGCGGGGCGAAAUGCUCUUCUCGGCAAAGUCUUCCAGUGUCCAGGAUGGUGCAUAAUGUGACAUGUUAUCCACGAAUAUCUACAAUGUGCACCCGGAAAUUGUGCAGAAGAUCCUUGAAUCUAGCUUUUUUUUUUUUCCUUGUAAAACAACACAGAAUGAAAGCGUCAGUACUGCUGCAUGAGAUGGUAGUGGCCUGCUAUGCCGAGAAGUAUUAAGGCGUGUUAGCGCAAGCGCUAACAGUCUUGUUCUUGCUAUUUACACUAUUAAGCCAACGAGCGAAAGAGCGAAACCGCCUUCUGGCUUACCCUUGUCCGGAUAUGGACCGAUGUCCCAAACCAAAACUACCCCCGGAGAAGCAUGGCUCGGGUUUGGGGGCUACUUGUGGGAGGCGAAAUGAAUGAUGACGACGGAAGCAAUGGUUGUGGGUUCUACCUUGUAGAACCCAACUCUUCCUGAUCUGACAAGGCAGCCCACAUAACAAAGUGCUUAAUGACACCUGAUGCGUUAUGCAAAAAAUGCCUCUAAUACAAGAAACCACAAUUAAAGGAUUAAUGAACCUGGCACGUGCGCAAUAAAUGUUUUAAAAAAGUCA